rnacentral:rRNA from 1 species
AUUGAACGCUGGCGGCAGGCCUAACACAUGCAAGUCGAGCGAGCGGCGGACGGGUGAGUAAUGUAUGGGAAACUGCCUGAUGGAGGGGGAUAACUACUGGAAACGGUAGCUAAUACCGCAUACCAUCAGAUGUGCCCAGAUGGGAUUAGCUGGUAGGUGGGGUAACGGCUCACCAAGGCGACGAUCCGUAGCUGGUUUGAGAGGACGACCAGCCACACUGGGACUGAGACACGGCCCAGACUCCUACGGGAGGCAGCAGUGGGGAAUUUUGGACAAUGGGGGAAACCCUGAUCCAGCCAUGCCGCGUGUGCGAAGAAGGCCUUCGGGUUGUAAAGCACUUUUGGUAGGGAAGCGGUACCUGCAGAAUAAGCACCGGCUAACUACGUGCCAGCAGCCGCGGUAAUAC